rnacentral:rRNA from 1 species
GAUAGAGCUACCAUGUGUACGGUAACGGGGAUUAGGUUCGCNUCCGAGAGGGAGCUGAGAAACGGCUACNNCAUYCCAAGGAAGCCAGCAGGCGCGCAAAUUACCCAAUCCGACACGGGGNAGGUAGUGACAAUAAAUAACAAUACGGGGCUNUUCGGGUCUCGUAAUUGGAAUGAGUACAAUUUAAAUCCUUAACGAGGAACAAUUGGAGGGCAAGUCUGGUGCCAGCAGCCGCGGUAAUUCCGGCUCCAAUAGCGUAUAUUAAAGUUGUUGCAGUUAAAAAGCUCGUAGUUGAAUUUCGGGAUUGACACAUCGGUCGUGCUUAAGGGGUAUGAACUGGUGUAGUCAAUUUCUCACCUUCUGGAGAACCGCGAUGCCNUUAAUUGGGUGUCGCGGGGAACCAGGACCUUUACUUUGAAAAAAUUAGAGUGUUUAAAGCAGGCAUUUUGCUUGAAUACAUUAGCAUGGAAUAAUAAAAUAGGACGGCAUGAUUCUAUUUUGUUGGUUUCUAGGAUCACCGUACUGNNUNANUAGGGAUAGUUGGGGGCAUUAGUAUUCAAUUGUCAGAGGUGAAAUUCYAGGAUUUAUUGAAGACUAACUACUGCGAAAGCAUUUGCCAAGGAUGUUUUCAUUAAUCAAGAACGAAAGUUAGGGGAUCGAAGACGAUCAGAGACCGUCGUAGUCUUAACCAUAAACUAUGCCG